UCUGUGUAUACACGAACACUAACACACACAACUCGACAACAAAUAAAAAUCCGAUUUUCACAAACGAUCCCACGACAUAUUUAUUAUUAAAUAUUGUUCGUUUUGCAUUCAAUUGAUUCUCACUACAACAAUGGUUCAUCAUUAUUAUCAAUUUGUAGAAACCAUAAAGGUGAUAGUCCAAUUGUAUCAGUAAAAAAGAUGAAUAGCUGUUCGCUAUUUUUAGGCAUUGAUAAUCUUUUGGUUUGAUUUCCAUUAUUACGUUAUUUUGCCUAUUUUCAAUCAUACAACAUUUUCUUAUUGUAACAUUGAAGAAAUCUUUUCCAAACGUUUUGCGGUUCUGUCUCUGUGCAUUUUUAGUUUAUGGAGGAUUUUGUUUUUGUGGUUGGGUCGUUUUUGGUCCUCAUCUCAAAUUUCGUACGCUAAGCUAACAUUGGAAUGUUUGUUUUCACUUAUGAACGGUGAUGAUAUGUUUGCUACAUUUUUUUCCAUUGAUGUGAAAAAUCAUUAAAUUGAAAUUCGAUUGAUGAUUAUGUUCGAGAUCAAUUCGGCGGUUCCAUUGUUCAUCAGCAUCCAAUUCAAGAAUAGUUUGACCAUGUUCAACACAUGAUAUCAGAUUAGGCUUAGGACAUGGUCUGAACUAUUUCCUAUUGAAUUUGAUGCUGAUUGAAUCUUUGGAAUCAAUGAAGCGAUCGAAAACAUGAUUAUAAGUUGAAGAUUCAUGGGAUGGAACACAUACUUGAAAAUGAUCAUGGAUUGCCGGCGAACAAUUGGGAAAUUGAAUCUCGAACCACGGAUAGAAUUUGGACAUUGUCUUGGAACAUGGACCGCGAACAUUGGAUCUAUUUCAAACGGGACAAUUAACGUUGUAUGGCGCAAUUGGGAUGUGAAAUAUGGAUGUAUUUUAUUAUAUUUCUAAUAUUUUAAUAAAUUAAUAUAUCAAUAAAAUCAAUUAAAUUUCAA